rnacentral:rRNA from 1 species
CUACGGGAUGCACCAGUAAGGAAUAUUGCGCAAUGGAGGCAACUCUGACGCAGCCAUGCCGCGUGCAGGAAGAAGGCCUUAUGGGUCGUAAACUGCUUUUAUUUAGGGAUAAACCCCCGAACGUGUUCGGGGCUGAAGGUACUAAACGAAUAAGCACCGGCUAACUCCGUGCCAGCAGCCGCGGUAAUACGGUGGGUGCAAGCGUUAUCCGGAUUUAUUGGGUUUAAAGGGUGCGCAGGCGGGCUAUUAAGUCAGUGGUGAAAUCCCGGGGCUCAACUCCGGAACUGCCAUUGAUACUGAUAGUCUUGAGUUUGGUUGAGGUGGGCGGAAUGUAGCAUGUAGCAGUGAAAUGCAUAGAUAUGCUACAGAACACCAAUCGCGAAGGCAGCUCACUAAGCCAAAACUGACGCUCAUGCACGAAAGCGUGGGGAUCAAACAGGAUUAGAUACCCUAGUAGUC